AUGUGGGACCUUACAGUCUCUGGUGCAAGAGUACAGACCUCUGUAGGAGCUAAGCCAACAAGCCUUUGGCGUACAAAACACUAUUGUGAAACAGUUAAGAUAAACAGUUCUUGUUUCUUGCAGGUUCUGUCAAGUGACAACAUGGGGAGCAAUUUCAGCAUGCAGAUCUGCUGUGGGACUUGUGGGAGAUGUAAGAAGGAAGAGGAAGUAAACGAAGAGACCAGUGAGACCAAGCCGAUUUUGCAGACCUCGAGGGAUCCAUCAAUCUGUAUUGAGAAGCAGCCUUCCACACCAGCCCUGAAAGCCUCUGAACAAGGCUCUGAAGAGGUGCAGUCACUGUGCUGGAACCAACAGCUGUCAGCUGAUGCUGCAGAGCAGAGCACAGAGACCUGUUCUCCUUCAGAUCCCACGGGAGUGACUGAGGAAUGGAAGGCAGCCUGGGGCUCCAUGGAUUUCUUGGUGGCAUCUGCAGAUAGGGAGACUGAAGGAGAGGUUGCGGUCUUAACCCAGCUGCAAAGCCAGCAAGAAAGAGAGAAACCAUGCACCACAGAAGAGAAAAUAAAACCUGUUUCCCAUGCUUCUGAGGCCCAGCUGGUUAUGCAUGCAGCUCAGGCUGUGAGUCCUGUUGCAUUUACAGGACAGCCUGAUGAACAGGCUGGGGCUAGCAGUGAGGACGGCUCAUAUGCUGGAAGAACUCUGCAAGAAACAAAUAUUCUCAACCUCAUGGAAAUCACAGGGGAAUCGGCAGCUGGCCAAGACUGCGAGAUCAGGCCUCCCGCAGAGACUGCUGAGAGUCCUGUAGGAAGGAACUUGCCACUGUAUGCUGUGCAGGAGAUGGCAAAGGAGGCUGAGCCCUGUCCUCCUGCGGAGCACACAGAGGAGAUGGACAGGACUAGUCUUGCUGAAGGAAGCCCUCAAUCCACUGGGAGUGACAAGAUCAUGGUUCUUGUAGAGACAGAACCUCUGAGUGUCCAGGUUACACAGGAGACUAAGAAGACAGAGGAUCCUCCAGAAGAAAUAGUAAGUGGUAUGGCUGAGAGACACUCUACUUCUGCAAUGCUUUGGGAGGCUCUGUAUCCAGGAGGGGAAUAUCCAGAGUCAGCAAACCAGCUGCUUGACCUCUUGAAGGAAGACACCCAGUCAGUUGUGCUAACUGCACAGGAGAUGCAGAGCCUGAGUUCUGCAGAGUCUGAUGAACUGAGUGAAGUCUUCUGCCAGUCAAAUGACAAAGAUCAAAUAUGCCUCAGUGAUCUGGUGGAAGAUGAGGAGAUCAGGGAAUGUGAUCCAGAAACUCUAACAGGUGGAGCAGAGCCCCAGGAGAUGACCACACAACCAACAAUUCUGCUUCCAGAGGAACCCCUGGCUUGCCCCCAGAUGCCUGUAAAGGAAGAAGCUGAGGUUCUGAAUGUGGCACCCCUGCAUUCUGAAGUGUUUGGGAUUGGAGGAGAGAUUCAGGCUGAAGACGCUGAAGCUUGA
ensembl:lncRNA